rnacentral:rRNA from 1 species
GACGAACGCUGGCGGCGUGCUUAACACAUGCAAGUCGAGCGAAGAAGCUCCUUCGGGAGUGGAUUAGCGGCGGACGGGUGAGUAACACGUGGGUAACCUGCCUCAUAGAGGGGAAUAGCCUUCCGAAAGGAAGAUUAAUACCGCAUAAGAUUGUAGUACCGCAUGGUAUAGCAAUUAAAGGAGCAAUCCGCUAUGAGAUGGACCCGCGUCGCAUUAGCUAGUUGGUGAGGUAACGGCUCACCAAGGCGACGAUGCGUAGCCGACCUGAGAGGGUGAUCGGCCACAUUGGGACUGAGACACGGCCCAGACUCCUACGGGAGGCAGCAGUGGGGAAUAUUGCACAAUGGGGGAAACCCUGAUGCAGCAACGCCGCGUGAGUGAUGACGGUCUUCGGAUUGUAAAGCUCUGUCUUCAGGGACGAUAAUGACGGUACCUGAGGAGGAAGCCACGGCUAACUACGUGCCAGCAGCCGCCGUAA